CUACAGAUGUGUAUGUUGCUGUAAUCCUUUACUGUUGCUAAUGUGCAACUCUGUUAUGUAUAAUCUGGAAUUGCACUUUAGCAAUGGUGAUGGACUACAAGCUUUAUAGAAAAUACAUAU
rnacentral:pre_miRNA from 11 species